AUAAAAACACAGCCUAAAAUGACGAGAGA
rnacentral:guide_RNA from 1 species